rnacentral:rRNA from 1 species
UACGAAGGGGGCUAGCGUUGUUCGGAAUUACUGGGCGUAAAGCGCACGUAGGCGGAUUGUUAAGUGAGGGGUGAAAUCCCAGGGCUCAACCCUGGAACUGCCUUUCAUACUGGCAAUCUCGAGUCCGAGAGAGGUGAGUGGAAUUCCGAGUGUAGAGGUGAAAUUCGUAGAUACUCGGAGGAACACCAGUGGCGAAGGCGGCUCACUGGCUCGGUACUGACGCUGAGGUGCGAAAGCGUGGGGAGCAAACAGG